rnacentral:siRNA from 1 species
CUCCAUAUGGGUGACACAUCAUCA